rnacentral:misc_RNA from 1 species
AGUCGUAACAAGGUAACCGUAGGUGAACCUGCGGUUGGAUCAUUAAUGAUUCUUUGGAUGAUUGUCUGGUGGAGAAGCGGGUGCUUUUUGUUUGUUUCCGCUGGUUUUGGGUUAUCCUUCUGGUUUUUGAAGGUUGUCUGAAGCAUGCCGGUUGGGAAUGAAUAAAAAUAAUCGGUUUCGACGCUGGACUUUCAGUCAACGACUCCCCCCUUGUGAAUGUUUCCUGUAUUUUCUGUUGGUGGUCCUACACCAAAUGGAACGGGGUUGUUGCGUUUACUCGCAACCUGUUCUUGGGGCCGCCGCAGAAACUGUAAAUCACUUUGAAUCUUAUGCACUCAGUGUCGCUUACCUGGUUUGUUCCUUUUCUGGGAUGAAUCUUGUAAAAAAUCAUACAACUUUUGACAAUGGAUCUCUUGGCUCACA